rnacentral:lncRNA from 1 species
AGCUGCGCAGAGGUAGCUGAGAUAAAUGUCCUGACUGCGCUGAGAAGACCCAAAUUCCACUUAAGGCUUUCCCCUCCGUAGCGUGGCUGAAUUGCCACUAAAGCUCAUUUUCUGCCGAAGCAGGUUUUCCAGCGUUGUCAACCAUUAUUGUUGUGCUGUAAAUUUUCAGGAAAAAUGCAGAUGGCAACAUAUAUACCCUACUCCCUCCCUCUUGGUAACAUGUGCAUGAUUCAACAAAACAUGUUAUGUGUAUGCUUGUGGUUGGUGUUCCUACU